GAUGAACGCUGGCGGCGUGCUUAACACAUGCAAGUCGAACGGAGAAGAGCAGAGUACUUGUACAAGGCUUUUCUUAGUGGCGGACGGGCGAGUAACGCGUGAGCAACCUACCUUUAACUGGGGAACAACAACGGGAAACUGUUGCUAAUACCGCAUAAAGUACCGAGAUGACAUCAUCAUGGUACCAAAGAAGCAAUUCGGUUAGAGAUGGGCUCGCGUCUGAUUAGAUAGUUGGUGAGGUAACGGCGCACCAAGGCUACGAUCAGUAGCCGGACGUAGAGUGCGGUCGGCCGCAUUGGGACUGAGACACGGCCCAGACUCCUACGGGAGGCAGCAGUGAGGAAUAUUGGGCAAUGGGCGCAAGCCUGACCCAGCAACGCCGCGUGAAGGAAGAAGGCUUUCGGGUUGUAAACUUCUUUUAUAAGUGAGGAAUAUGACGGUAACUUAUGAAUAAGGAUCGGCUAACUACGUGCCAGCCGCCGCGGUAA
rnacentral:rRNA from 1 species